ACUACGCCUUGAAAAAGGCGCGCGAAGCAC
rnacentral:sRNA from 1 species